GACGAACGCUGGCGGCGUGCUUAACACAUGCAAGUCGAACGGGCCCGCUCUCUUUUUUGGGGGUGGGUUGAGUGGCGAACGGGUGAGUAUCACGUGAGUAACCUGCCCCCUGCUCCUGGAUAACUGCUUGAAAGGGCGGCUAAUACGGGGUGUGCCGGCUGGUCCGCAUGGGCCUGGUCGGGAUAGUUUCAUCUUCGGGUGUUUCGGUGGGGGAUGGGCUCGCGGCCUAUCAGCUUGUUGGUGGGGUGAUGGCCCACCAAGGCGGUGACGGGUAGCCGGCGUGAGAGGGUGGGCGGCCAGACUGGGACUGAGACACGGCCCAGACGCGUGCGGGAGGCAGCAGUGGGGGGUAUUGCACAAUGGACGGAAGCCUGAUGCAGCGACGUCGCGUGAGGGAUGGAGGCCUUCGGGUUGUGAACCUCUUUCUCCGGUGGUGAAGGCCCUGUCCGUUGCGGCGGGGUUGACGGUAGCCGGGGAUGAAGCGCCGGCUAACUACGUG
rnacentral:rRNA from 1 species